rnacentral:lncRNA from 1 species
CCUUAUGGCGUGAGCAUUAUUAGAGAAAGCCACUUCUUACGAUGCUUAGAUCCAUGGCUGAAUUGGAUCAUAUUAUUAUUAUUAUUAUUCAUAAGAUGGUUAAUUUAUAUAAAUUUUAUAUGAAUACAAUUAAUAGAAUUAAAAAAUAAAAUAUCUCGAAGCUAUCUCGGGAUAAUCCCCAUCGCAGUCUAGACGAUCUCUCCUGUGUGCUCUGCUAAAAAAGAUGACAUCCAAUCAGCUACCAAAUUCGUCUCGUGGAAGACAUGUCGGAUAAUCAGCACACUGCUCUCUUCUAAUAGUCUUAUUGCAUCAUGCAAAAGGAGGUGAGAGCCUCCGCCAGAGAUAUCUUUCUGCAGCCAAGCAAUCAUUGUGGCUGAAUCACCGUCCACUACGAGAUGGGUCGCCCCGAGAAUUGGAUCAUGUUAUUAAUUUCUUAGAUGUAAAUAUUGAUGUUUUGAAAGGAAGUGCGGCAUUUGUUAAUUUUAGUAUCCAUAUAUUUUCAAAGAAAAUUUGUCAAAAAUAGAUAUAUUAAUUAAUAAAAUUUAAGUAAGCGAGAAUUCUCUAAUAUUCAUACUCUGUUUGGCAACCAGAAAUUCUAGCUUCAAAUCCAGAAACUUUGACCUAGGAAGUUGAAUUAUUGAUUGGUGUCCCUCCAGCCCUCUAUUUCUUUCAAAAAUAAUUAG